rnacentral:rRNA from 1 species
UACGAAGGGGGCUAGCGUUGCUCGGAAUCACUGGGCGUAAAGGGUGCGUAGGCGGGUCUUUAAGUCAGGGGUGAAAUCCUGGAGCUCAACUCCAGAACUGCCUUUGAUACUGAGGAUCUUGAGUACGGGAGGGGUGAGUGGAACUGCGAGUGUAGAGGUGAAAUUCGUAGAUAUUCGCAAGAACACCAGUGGCGAAGGCGGCUCACUGGCCCGUUACUGACGCUGAGGCACGAAAGCGUGGGGAGCAAACAGG